GCGCGAGUGGCUCAGUGGUGGAGCACCUCCUUGCCAAGGAGGGGGUCGCGGGUUCGAUCCCCGUCUCGCGCUCUA
rnacentral:tRNA from 4 species